UCUUUGGGGUCUGGGGUGGUCGAGAAAUCCCGGACGAACCCCCAAAUGAAACAUCCUGGAAAGGAUACACCCACUCAAGUCUCCGGAAGUCGCAGAACCCAGACACAUGAGAGACCAA
rnacentral:pre_miRNA from 14 species